rnacentral:rRNA from 1 species
UGGGGAAUAUUGGGCAAUGGGCGAAAGCCUGACCCAGCGACGCCGCGUGGGUGAUGAAGGCCUUCGGGUUGUAAAGCCCUGUCAUGCGGAAAGAACAGUCCCUCGGUGAAUAAUCGUGGGAUUUGACGGUACCGCAGGAGGAAGCACCGGCUAACUCCGUGCCAGCAGCCGCGGUAAUACGGAGGGUGCAAGCGUUGUUCGGAAUUAUUGGGCGUAAAGGGCGCGUAGGCGGUUGUGCAAGUCAGUUGUGAAAUACUUCGGCUCAACUGAAGAACUACAUCUGAUACUGCAUAACUCGAGUACAGGAGAGGGAAACGGAAUUCCCGGUGUAGAGGUGAAAUUCGUAGAUAUCGGGAGGAACACCAGUGGCGAAGGCGGUUUCCUGGCCUGAUACUGACGCUGAGGCACGAAAGCGUGGGGAGCAAACA